rnacentral:rRNA from 1 species
GUGGGGAAUAUUGGACAAUGGGCGAAAGCCUGAUCCAGCCAUGCCGCGUGUGUGAAGAAGGUCUUCGGAUUGUAAAGCACUUUAAGUUGGGAGGAAGGGCAGUAAGUUAAUACCUUGCUGUUUUGACGUUACCGACAGAAUAAGCACCGGCUAACUUCGUGCCAGCAGCCGCGGUAAUACGACGGGUGCAAGCGUUAAUCGGAAUUACUGGGCGUAAAGCGCGCGUAGGUGGUUUUGUACGUUGGAGGUGAAAUCCCCGGGCUCAACCUGGGAACUGCCUCCAAAACUGCAUGACUAGAGUACGGUAGAGGGUAGUGGAAUUUCCUGUGUAGCGGUGAAAUGCGUAGAUAUAGGAAGGAACACCAGUGGCGAAGGCGACUACCUGGACUGAUACUGACACUGAGGUGCGAAAGCGUGGGGAGCAAACAGGAUUAGAAACCCUGGUAGUCC